ACUAAAACUUUAGUUGACUGUGAAAUUUCAAGCAACUUCAAUCGAACGAACCAAUUCCAAAAUGAAUUUCAAAAUAUUCACAUUUUUAGUGUUGGCAAUGGUAUUGUUUAUGUGCAAACAAAGUGCAGGUCAAAUGCCAAGCUUGCCCAAGGCACCGGCAAUGCCAGGUAUACCAUCUGUACCAGCGGAAAUACCAAGUAUGCCGCCAGCGCCAAGUAUUCCAUCUAUACCUGAGGGUGUUCCAUCCUCACCGGAAGCCAUGUCAAAUAUGGCAUCACCACCAUCAAUGCCUGAUCCAAGCCAGAUAAAAGAAAAUAUCGAGGGAAAAAUGGAGGAGGUAAAAGGGGCAGCAGCCGUGGCUGCUUCCACGGUGCCAACGGCAUAGAAUCAAGCUAUUGGAGAAAUUGUAACAUGUCAAGUACAUGCAACAUUGCACAUCACACACAAAAGAAUAAUAGAGGAACUUCACAAAUUUUAUCAUAAAACCUAAUCGGAGUUUGAGAAAAAAAAAAAUCAAACAAAUAUCGACGCUUUAUAUCUCGCAUGAAUCACUCUUUUUUAUUGUUAGAAAAAUAUUUUUUCAUGGAAUUUGAUCAAAAUCAGUUGAAUAAUUUGUAUAUGCAUAUUUAUUGAUCGUAAAAUCAAUAAUUAACCGAAUGCAGACAACAGGAAUUCACUUCAUUCAAACAUGAAAACAACAAACCAAAUUCUUCGAAGUCGUACAACGCCUGCCAUUUGUGCCAAAGUAUUCAAGCGAAUCGGUUGAAACUAGUAUUAAACUCAAUAGAUACGCUCGCAAAAUUGUAAAUUGUAAAUUCCUGUAUCGGUUGUAAAUACAUCUGAAUGUCACUUUACAAAUUCAUUAUAUAAGAUAAGAGCAAAUAACAAUGUGUAUAAAUCUUGAGGUUCACACUGGAUGCACUGUUUGUUUCGGUAUUAAUAAAUUGAAUUCCACUAUUACAUCCCCAUAUUAUAUUCAAUAAAGAUUAAUCGAAAAUAGCA